AGCCGGCUUCACCCAGCACGG
rnacentral:misc_RNA from 1 species